rnacentral:rRNA from 1 species
UUGUCUUUUAAAUAAAGACCAGUAUGAAUGGCAAGACGAAAGUUCAACUGUCUCCCUAAAUUAAUCAAUGAAAUUGAUCUUCCCGUGCAGAAGCGGGAAUAAAAUUAUAAGACGAGAAGACCCUAUGGAGCUUUAAAUAUAUGAUCAACUGUAUAAUAUAAAAUUCAAUAGAUUAAGCAUUAAAUAAAACAUUAUGAUCAAAAUUUUAGGUUGGGGCGACCACGGAGAAAAACAAAACCUCCGAGAUGAAAAGAGUAUCUUAAUUUAUGAACUACAGUUCUAAUAAAUAAAAUAUUUAACAUAAUUGAUCCAAUAUAUUGAUCAACGAACUAAGUUACCCUAGGGAUAACAGCGCAAUCCUUUCCAAGAGUCCCUAUCGACGAAUGGGUUUACGACCUCGAUGUUGGAUCAGGACACCCCAAUGGUGCAGCCGCUAUUAAAGGUUCGUUUGUUCAACGAUUAAAGUCCUA